rnacentral:rRNA from 1 species
GACGAACGCUGGCGGCGUGCUUAACACAUGCAAGUCGAACGAUGAAGCCGGAGCUUGCUCCGGUGGAUUAGUGGCGAACGGGUGAGUAACACGUGAGCAAUCUGCCCUUGACUCUGGGAUAACUGCGGGAAACUGUAGCUAAUACCGGAUACGACACCUUGGGGCAUCCCAGGGUGUGGAAAGAGUUUCGGUCAAGGAUGAGCUCGCGGCCUAUCAGCUAGUUGGUGAGGUAAUGGCUCACCAAGGCGACGACGGGUAGCCGGCCUGAGAGGGUGACCGGCCACACUGGAACUGAGACACGGUCCAGACUCCUACGGGAGGCAGCAGUGGGGAAUAUUGCACAAUGGGCGAAAGCCUGAUGCAGCAACGCCGCGUGAGGGAUGAGGGCCUUCGGGUUGUAAACCUCUUUUAGCAGGGAAGAAGCGAAAGUGACGGUACCUGCAGAAAAAGCACCGGCUAACUACGUGCCAGCCGCCGCAGUAA